AAUAGAUACCCAGGUAGUCCACGCCGUAAACGAUGGAUACUAGCUGUUGGGCGCAAGUUCAGUGGCUAAGCGAAAGUGAUAAGUAUCCCACCUGGGGAGUACGUUCGCAAGAAUGAAACUCAAAGGAAUUGACGGGGGCCCGCACAAGCGGUGGAGCAUGUGGUUUAAUUCGAUGAUACGCGAGGAACCUUACCAAGGCUUAAAUGUAGAUUGACCGGUUUGGAAACAGAUCUUUCGCAAGACAAUUUACAAGGUGCUGCAUGGUUGUCGUCAGCUCGUGCCGUGAGGUGUCAGGUUAAGUCCUAUAACGAGCGCAACCCCUGUUGUUAGUUGCCAGCGAGUCAAGUCGGGAACUCUAACAAGACUGCCAGUGCAAACUGUGAGGAAGGUGGGGAUGACGUCAAAUCAUCACGGCCCUUACGCCUUGGGCUACACACGUGCUACAAUGGCCGGUACAGAGAGCAGCCACUGGGUGACCAGGAGCGAAUCUAUAAAACCGGUCACAGUUCGGAUCGGAGUCUGCAACUCGA
rnacentral:rRNA from 1 species